AAGAAAUAGAGCAAACGGAAGAUGAAAAAGAAGAAGAAGCGGGAGAUGAAAAUAACGCCGCGUUUUCUGAAGAAAAAGAAGAACAAGAAGAAAAUAGCGGGGUGAUGGCUGAGGAAGGAAUUUCUUUCUCUCCUAACAUCGUUCCCGAAGUUUCAUAUUUACCGGAGUAUUAACCCUCGCAGGGUGAUACAAAUGGCCCGAUAAAAGAAUAUUAAAACUACAGAGUGGCGAAGGAACGUCGAAAUACACCAAGGAGAAGAUUUUCAAACCCGCUCCGGUGAGGAAACUUCUGACGAUGUCAAAGAGCGACAUUUAGCUGGUGUACAAGAGGAAGAAGAAGAAGAAGAAGCGGAGGAAGAAAUAGCGAAUCAAGAG